rnacentral:rRNA from 1 species
GACGAACGCUGGCGGCGCGCCUAACACAUGCAAGUCGAACGGAGCUGAGAGAAGCUUGCUUUUCUUAGCUUAGUGGCGAACGGGUGAGUAACGCGUGAGUAACCUGCCCUGGAGUGGGGGACAACAGUUGGAAACGACUGCUAAUACCGCAUAAGCCCACGAUCCGGCAUCGGCUUGAGGGAAAAGGAUUUAUUCGCUUCAGGAUGGACUCGCGUCCAAUUAGCUAGUUGGUGAGGUAACGGCCCACCAAGGCGACGAUUGGUAGCCGGACUGAGAGGUUGAACGGCCACAUUGGGACUGAGACACGGCCCAGACUCCUACGGGAGGCAGCAGUGGGGGAUACUGCACAAUGGGGGAAACCCUGAUGCAGCGACGCCGCGUGGAGGAAGAAGGUUUUCGGAUUGUAAACUCCUGUCGUUAGGGACGAUAAUGACGGUACCUAACAAGAAAGCACCGGCUAACUACGUG